AUAUCAGUAAGCGGAGGAAAAGAAACUAACAAGGAUUCCCGUAGUAACGGCGAGUGAACUGGGAAUAGCUCAAAUUUAAAAUCUGGCCUUUUCGGGUCCGAAUUGUAGUCUAAAGAGGUGCUAUCUUGAUCACUGUGUGCGCACAAGUGUCCUGGAAUGGGCCAUCACAGAGGGUGAGAAUCCCGUUUGGGUGCACAUCACGUGAUCAUAUAUGAGGCACUCUCUAAGAGUCGAGUUGUUUGGGAAUGCAGCUCAAAAUGGGUGGUAAACUUCAUCCAAGGCUAAAUAUUGGCAAGAGACCGAUAGCGAACAAGUACCGUGAGGGAAAGAUGAAAAGCACCUUGAAAAGGGAGUUAAACAGCGC
rnacentral:rRNA from 1 species